AGUGAACGCUGGCGGCAGGCCUAACACAUGCAAGUCGAACGGCAGCACAGUAAGAGCUUGCUCUUACGGGUGGCGAGUGGCGGACGGGUGAGGAAUACAUCGGAAUCUACUUUUUCGUGGGGGAUAACGUAGGGAAACUUACGCUAAUACCGCAUACGACCUACGGGUGAAAGCAGGGGAUCUUCGGACCUUGCGCGAUUGAAUGAGCCGAUGUCGGAUUAGCUAGUUGGCGGGGUAAAGGCCCACCAAGGCGACGAUCCGUAGCUGGUCUGAGAGGAUGAUCAGCCACACUGGAACUGAGACACGGUCCAGACUCCUACGGGAGGCAGCAGUGGGGAAUAUUGGACAAUGGGCGCAAGCCUGAUCCAGCCAUACCGCGUGGGUGAAGAAGGCCUUCGGGUUGUAAAGCCCUUUUGUUGGGAAAGAAAAGCAGCAGGUUAAUACCCUGCUGUUCUGACGGUACCCAAAGAAUAAGCACCGGCUAACUUCGUG
rnacentral:rRNA from 1 species